CGAAAGAGGUUUAAACCCCGAGGGGGUUUAAAUGCGUCAUAAAACGUCAUGAAACGUCAUAUUUUUUAGUCUGCUCUUAGAUGUGGUUUAAACCAUGGUUUAAUUUUAUGAGCAUGCGCACUUGAGGAGUUUGUGAAAAAUCCGUGAAGCGAAGAAAAUUUUUCUUGCGGUCCUGGACCUGACAAGUGGUCUUCUUGAUUAGAAAUUCAAUUACAUCGGCAUCAGAGGUACCAUACAGUGUAGGUCUCUAUGGAUUAUCUCCAUCUUCUUCACAGCUUUAAAUUACUAAGAGCUACCUUUUCCAAGACAUUGUGGGCUACAUGAUGCUAAAAAUCCAUCGAAAUCGUACAAGGAUGGGCCAUCUCGAGAUCAGUAUCGACUGUCAAAAGAAACCGUCACCAAUAUGCUGGAAGCCGAAAUGAAGAGGGACACACAGCUCAGAGGAUAGAUCAACUUCCUGUUUAUUUGCAGGUGUUGACAACUCUCCAUUUUUAUGCAGUGGGAUCAUUUUAAAAGAUGCAUGGUGAUGAGGCAGCAAUAUAGCAGUCAUCAAUGUGUCAGAAGCUAAAGCAAGAAGGAAGAGGCAAUACAUGAAGAUUCCUACAAGAGAAGAAGUUGAAGCAACUCGGAGACAGUUCUAUCUAACUGUUAGAUUUCCAGGAGUGAAAGGUGCAAUUGAUGGGACACAUGUCUACAUCAAGAGCCGGGGGGGG